rnacentral:rRNA from 1 species
AUUGAACGCUGGCGGUAGGCCUAACACAUGCAAGUCGAACGGCAGCACAGUAAGAGCUUGCUCUUACGGGUGGCGAGUGGCGGACGGGUGAUGAAUACAUCGGAAUCUACUUUUUCGUGGGGGAUAACGUAGGGAAACUUACGCUAAUACCGCAUACGACCUACGGGUGAAAGCAGGGGAUCUUCGGACCUUGCGCGAUUGAAUGAGCCGAUGUCGGAUUAGCUAGUUGGCGGGGUAAAGGCCCACCAAGGCGACGAUCCGUAGCUGGUCUGAGAGGAUGAUCAGCCACACUGGAACUGAGACACGGUCCAGACUCCUACGGGAGGCAGCAGUGGGGAAUAUUGGACAAUGGGCGCAAGCCUGAUCCAGCCAUACCGCGUGGGUGAAGAAGGUCUUCGGGUUGUAAAGCCCUUUUGUUGGGAAAGAAAAGCAGUAGGUUAAUACCCCGCUGUUCUGACGGUACCAACAGAAUAAGCACCGGCUAACUUCGUG